UACGUAGGGAGCAAGCGUUGUCCGGAUUCACUGGGUGUAAAGGGUGCGUAGGCGGGAGAAUAAGUCAGCGGUGAAAUCUUACGGCUCAACCGUGAAACUGCCGUUGAUACUGUUUUUCUUGAGUUCGGGAGAGGUUGAUGGAAUUCCAGGUGUAGCGGUGAAAUGCGUAGAUAUCUGGAAGAACACCAGUGGCGAAGGCGGUCAACUGGCCCGAAACUGACGCUGAGGCACGAAAGCGUGGGUAG
rnacentral:rRNA from 1 species